GAUGAACGCUGGCGGCGUGCCUAACACAUGCAAGUCGAACGGAGUCCAGCCUUAGAGACCUUCGGGUCAAAGAGGGGAAGACUGAGUGGCGGACGGGUGAGUAACACGUGGGCAACCUGGCUCAUAGAGGGGGAUAACAGAGAGAAAUUUCUGCUAAUACCGCAUAAGCACACACUGCCGCAUGGCAGAGUGUGAAAAGAGAAUCGCUAUGAGAUGGACCCGCGUCUGAUUAGCCAGUUGGCAGGGUAAGAGCCUACCAAAGCGACGAUCAGUAGCCGAUUUGAGAGGAUGAACGGCCACAUUGGGACUGAGACACGGCCCAGACUCCUACGGGAGGCAGCAGUGGGGGAUAUUGCACAAUGGGGGGAACCCUGAUGCAGCGACGCCGCGUGAGUGAAGAAGUAUUUCGGUAUGUAAAGCUCUAUCAGCCGGGAAGAUAAUGACAGUACCUGAAUAAGAAGCCCCGGCUAACUACGUG
rnacentral:rRNA from 1 species